rnacentral:tRNA from 1 species
GCCUUGAUGGUGAAAUGGUAGACACAAUUGAUUCAAAAUUAAUCGCUCACGAUGGUGAGCCCUAGAGGUUCGAGUCCUCUUCAAGGCA